rnacentral:rRNA from 1 species
CAGCCGCCGCGGUAAAACCAGCACCUCAAGUGGUCAGGAUGAUUAUUGGGCCUAAAGCAUCGGUAGCCGGCUCUGUAAGUUUUCGGUUAAAUCUGUACGCUCAACGUACAGGCUGCCGGGAAUACUGCAGAGCUAGGGAGUGGGAGAGGUAGACGGUACUCGGUAGGAAGGGGUAAAAUCCUUUGAUCUAUUGAUGACCACCUGUGGCGAAGGCGGUCUACCAGAACACGUCCGACGGUGAGGGAUGAAAGCUGGGGGAGCAAACCGGAUUAGAUACCCGGGUAGUCCCAGCUGUAAACUAUGCAAACUCAGUGAUGCAUUGGCUUGUGGCCAAUGCAGUGCUGCAGGGAAGCCGUUAAGUUUGCCGCCUGGGAAGUACGUACGCAAGUAUGAAACUUAAAGGAAUUGGCGGGGGAGCAC